rnacentral:rRNA from 1 species
UACGUAGGAUGCAAGCGUUGUCCGGAAUUAUUGGGCGUAAAGAGUUCGUAGGCGGCAUAUCAAGUCUGGUGUUAAAGACUGGGGCUCAACCCCAGAAAAGCACUGGAUACUGAUAAGCUAGAGUACAGAAGAGGCAAGGGGAAUUCCCAGUGUAGCGGUGAAAUGCGUAGAUAUUGGGAGGAACACCAGUGGCGUAAGCGCCUUGCUGGGCUGUUACUGACGCUGAGGAACGAAAGCCAGGGGAGCAAAU